GACGAACGCUGGCGGCGUGCUUAACACAUGCAAGUCGAACGAGAAUCUGUGGAAAGAGGAUUCGUCCAAUUGAAACAGAGGACAGUGGCGGACGGGUGAGUAACGCGUGAGGAACCUGCCUUUCAGAGGGGGACAACAGUUGGAAACGACUGCUAAUACCGCAUAACGCGUAGAGAUCGCAUGGUUUUUANGUCAAAGAUUUAUCGCUGAAAGAUGGCCUCGCGUCUGAUUAGAUAGUUGGUGAGGUAACGGCCCACCAAGUCUACGAUCAGUAGCCGGACUGAGAGGUUGAACGGCCACAUUGGGACUGAGAUACGGCCCAGACUCCUACGGGAGGCAGCAGUGGGGAAUAUUGGGCAAUGGGGGAAACCCUGACCCAGCAACGCCGCGUGAAGGAAGAAGGCUUUCGGGUUGUAAACGUUCUUUUACCAGGGACGAAGGACGUGACGGUACCUGGAGAAAAAGCCACGGCUAACUACGUG
rnacentral:rRNA from 1 species